rnacentral:tRNA from 1 species
CGGCCCGUAGCUCAGCGGCAGAGCACCCGGCUGUAGUCAGCCCCACGGGGGACAAACACCAAAAAUCCCCGUGGUCGGAAACCGGGGGGUCCCGGGUUCAAAUCCCGGCGGGCCGA